UCCUCCUUCUGGUGUUUUGUGGUGAGCCCAGCAUAAGGAAACUUGCUGAAAAGAAUUAAUCAGAGGGAAAAAUGGGGAAUUUCAUGUUAUUUCUCCUUGCAAUAAUACUUCCACCUUCAGACAAGAAUGCAACUAUUCUGCCGGCUCCUAGACUCUGUAUUUCUGAGUGUCUCUGUCACUGGCCAAGGUAAGAAGAUUUGCAGUACCCAUGCAGAAUUACAUCAACAGAAUAAAAUCAUUGGAAGAGUUUGGUGCCAAAUCCAAGCCUAGACUGUGGCUUAGCUGUAACAACUUACCCGAGGAAAAUGAAGUGUCUGAACUGAUAGAGCAUAUACAAAAAUCAACACAUCUAGUUUCUGUCAUCAUUCUUUCAUUAAAACUGCACCAAAGCAGAGUAAGAAACUCUGAGUGAAGUUCUUCACAGGGCCUGUGGGAGCUGACACCUGGCCUCUCUCUGCUUUCCUCUUAGCAUUUCUCCAUAUCCCUGUGGAACUAAUAGUCAUGCAUUAUGAAACAUAUCUAAACAUUAAGGGCAAACAAUUGGAAAUCUUUGAUGCUUCACUUCUUUUGGAAUAACAAAAAAAAGCAAAAUAAAGUGUAUCAAAAUGUAGAGUGUUUUAGAGGAGGACUGUUUUCUGAAUCACACUUGAGCUUCUUCAGUGGUUUCAUACCUUUUUUCUCCAACAGUAACGCAUAACUAUGCUGGUGUUAAAACCAGCUACGAUAAAUAGAAUUUUCUUCAAGAUCAAAACAGGCAAUAUCUUUAUCUAUUUUUUGCUUUGUUUUGUUUUUAACUAGAAAGAAUUUGCAUAGGUAGGUCUUAAAGUUGAGGCUGUUUGGCAACUCAUUAUUUGAUUUAGGUUUGGUACAAGAAACACUUUGUUUGGAGCAAACAAAAUAUUUUAAUUGCUAUACAAAUUGUGAAUGCUUAAUUAUAUGAAUAUAGUCAAUAUUUUGAAAAUUGAAUGUUAAAAAAUUUUAGAGGUGAGAGAAAUUAUUUGCCUGAUGCUUCAUCACAUUUUGUUCAUUUUCAUGGACUUUUGUGGCCAAGUGUUCAGAGUAAAAUCUAUCAACUUUUUCUUCCUGAGUGCAUUCUCAAUACAUGUAUCUGAGAUAAAGCAUAUUCUGAAGCUCUAUACUGCAUGCCACAGCUCUACGUGCUGCCAAACAGAUGUCUGCCAGCAUUCAUUUAUUAACACUAACAAAGGCAGUACCAAAGACAGCAGAGAGCUGGCCUGAAUGCUGCAACAGGAGAAGAAGGGCUGGGGUGGUACAAGAACUCUGUUUUCAAAAGGAGAAAAAGUUCUUCUACACAGAAGAACUAAAACUGAACUGUUUUUACAGUCAUAACAGAACAUAGAUCUAAAAGUGGGAUUUAGCUCACAGUUUGAGCAAUCUAAUUUUAUCUGUCUGUGUAUGGAGACCGAAGCUCCCAUUAUAAUCAAACUGUGAAAAUAGUCCCAGCAAAACCUGAAGAAUUAUUCAGCUCCCGCUAUGGAAAUUCCUUACUUGAACAAAGCACAGUCCAUUCUACAGAUUCUACAUUUACAACAGAAGUUUGCUCUUAGUUCCCACUGGAAGACAGGUCUCUCACCUAGGACCAAGGUUCAUGCCCUGCAGUACACUGUGUUAAUGGGGACCGCCCCACGUCUUCAGGAGAUCAGUGUUCUUCCCUUGCAAACUCUGCAGUCUCCUCUUUCAAAGAGUCUCCUUCCUAUCAUCAAAUCAGCUUCUCACAAACAGAUCUGAAGUCCUGUUACGACAUUAGACAAGCUAAACCAGCUUAUUUCCAUGGAAACCAGACUGAUUGUUAACUUUGUCAUCUUUCUCACACUGCUAAUUUGAAUGUGGCAUUUGAAUAAACUCUCAUUUGUUACUGGAGUGUUCUUUGUUAUGGGUGAAGAUGCUGAUGCCUCAGAAGGUCCUGAAAACAUUUACCACUACCUUCUUUACUUACCAACCACAGUGAAACUCAUCUCAAAGGUUUUAUUUCUUCCAGUAGCCAUGCAGCGGUACUUUGCGAAGUCGGAAGCUGUGACGUUUUGAAUGACAAUCGUUGAGCUUGCCUGACCAGAGCAAUCCACCAGUGCACGUUUUAUGAAAUCUGAACCAAAUCUUCGCUCUCCUCCUGAGUUACACAGGACAAUGGGCCUUCCAUCUGUCAGCGAUGAAAAAGUGAAAAAGAAAAGGCAUCUGUAAUGAGAGCUAUAACCUCCUCCAUUUCUCAGGACUUCUGGUCAUUGUGGCAAGUCAGUCAUGCCUUAUUAGGAUUAAAUUUUCUUCUCUUUAAUUUUUUUUCCCUUGGUGGAAAACAAAGCUAGCUCACACCAUCUAUCACAUGGUGAGGUGAAGAAGUUUUCUGUGAUCAGAGAGUAAGUUGUAAAAAAGAGUUUUGCUGAUUCUCCUACAAUGCCAAUCUGUUAAUAAUUAUAAAUAAUAAUUCAGUUAAUAACUGAAU